rnacentral:rRNA from 1 species
UGGGCGCACCUGAUCUAGCCAUGCCGCGUGAGUGAUGAAGGCCUUAGGGUUGUAAAGCUCUUUCAGCUGGGAAGAUAAUGACGGUACCAGCAGAAGAAGCCCCGGCUAACUCCGUGCCAGCACCCGCGGUAA